AUUGAACGCUGGCGGCAGGCUUAACACAUGCAAGUCGAGCGAGCGGCGGACGGGUGCGUCAUGUCUGGGAAACUGCCUGAUGGAGGGGGAUAACUACUGGAAACGGUAGCUAAUACCGCAUACCAUCAGAUGUGCCCAGAUGGGAUUAGCGAGUAGGUGGGGUAAUGGCUCACCUAGGCGACGAUCCCUAGCUGGUCUGAGAGGAUGACCAGCCACACUGGAACUGAGACACGGUCCAGACUCCUACGGGAGGCAGCAGUGGGGAAUAUUGCACAAUGGGCGCAAGCCUGAUGCAGCCAUGCCGCGUGUGUGAAGAAGGCCUUCGGGUUGUAAAGCACUUUCAGCGAGGAGGCUUUACUCUCCUAAGAAGCACCGGCUAACUCCGUGCCAGCAGCCGCGGUAAUUC
rnacentral:rRNA from 1 species